rnacentral:sRNA from 1 species
GCUGGGCUUGGAGGGCAUAUGCCUGUAAUCCCAGUGACUCUGGAGGCUGAGGCAGGAGGAUUGCAAGUUCAAGGUCAACCUCAGCAACUUAGCAAGACUCUGUCUUAA